GCUUAAUACAUGCAAGUCGAGGGGCAGCAUGGUGUAGCAAUACACUGAUGGCGACCGGCAAACGGGUGCGGAACACGUACACAACCUUCCUUUAAGCGGGGGAUAGCCCAGAGAAAUUUGGAUUAAUACCCCAUAGAAUAGCGAUGAGGCAUCUUAUUGUUAUUAAAGAUUUAUCACUUGAAGAUGGGUGUGCGUCUGAUUAGGUAGUUGGCGGGGUAACGGCCCACCAAGGCGACGAUGGCUAGGGGAGCUGAGAGGCUGGUCCCCCACACGGGCACUGAGAUACGGGCCCGACUCCUACGGGAGGCAGCAGUAGGGAAUAUUGGGCAAUGGCCGAGAGGCUGACCCAGCCAUGCCGCGUGCAGGAUGAAGGCUUUCUGAGUCGUAAACUGCUUUUGCCAGGGAAGAAAAAAGGGGAUGCGUCCUCUACUGACGGUACCUGGUGAAUAAGCACCGGCUAACUCCGUGCCAGCAGCCGCGGUAAU
rnacentral:rRNA from 1 species